rnacentral:rRNA from 1 species
AGCGUACACGGUGGAUGCCCUGGCAGUCAGAGGCGAUGAAGGACGUGCUAAUCUGCGAAAAGCGUCGGUAAGGUGAUAUGAACCGUUAUAGCCGGCGAUGUCCGAAUGGGGAAACCCAGUGCAAUUCGUUGCACUAUCGUUAACUGAAUACAUAGGUUAACGAGGCGAACCGGGGGAACUGAAACAUCUAAGUACCCCGAGGAAAAGAAAUCAACCGAGAUUCCCCCAGUAGCGGCGAGCGAACGGGGAGCAGCCCAGAGUCUGAAUCAGCUUGUGUGUUAGUGGAACGGUCUGGAAAGUCCGACGGUACAGGGUGAUAGUCCCGUACACCAAAAUGCACAGGCUGUGAACUCGAAGAGUAGGGCGGGACACGUGGUAUCCUGUCUGAAUAUGGGGGGACCAUCCUCCAAGGCUAAAUACUCCUGACUGACCGAUAGUGAACCAGUACCGUGAGGGAAAGGCGAAAAGAACCCCGGCGAGGGGAGUGAAAAAGAACCUGAAACCGUGUACGUACAAGCAGUAGGAGCCCACUUGUUGGGUGACUGCGUACCUUUUGUAUAAUGGGUCAGCGACUUAUAUUCUGUAGCAAGGUUAACCGUAUAGGGGAGCCGCAGGGAAACCGAGUCUUAACUGGGCGUUAAGUUGCAGGGUAUAGACCCGAAACCCGGUGAUCUAGCCAUGGGCAGGUUGAAGGUUGGGUAACACUAACUGGAGGACCGAACCGACUAAUGUUGAAAAAUUAGCGGAUGACUUGUGGCUGGGGGUGAAAGGCCAAUCAAACCGGGAGAUAGCUGGUUCUCCCCGAAAGCUAUUUAGGUAGCGCCUCGUGAAUUCAUCUUCGGGGGUAGAGCACUGUUUCGGCUAGGGGGUCAUCCCGACUUACCAACCCGAUGCAAACUACGAAUACCGAAGAAUGUUAUCACGGGAGACACACGGCGGGUGCUAACGUCCGUCGUGAAGAGGGAAACAACCCAGACCGCCAGCUAAGGUCCCAAAGUCAUGGUUAAGUGGGAAACGAUGUGGGAAGGCACAGACAGCCAGGAUGUUGGCUUAGAAGCAGCCAUCAUUUAAAGAAAGCGUAAUAGCUCACUGGUCGAGUCGGCCUGCGCGGAAGAUGUAACGGGGCUAAACCAUGCACCGAAGCUGCGGCAGCGACACUAUGUGUUGUUGGGUAGGGGAGCGUUCUGUAAGCCGUUGAAGGUGGCCUGUGAGGGUUGCUGGAGGUAUCAGAAGUGCGAAUGCUGACAUAAGUAACGAUAAAGCGGGUGAAAAGCCCGCUCGCCGGAAGACCAAGGGUUCCUGUCCAACGUUAAUCGGGGCAGGGUGAGUCGACCCCUAAGGCGAGGCCGAAAGGCGUAGUCGAUGGGAAACAGGUUAAUAUUCCUGUACUUGGUGUUACUGCGAAGGGGGGACGGAGAAGGCUAUGUUAGCCGGGCGACGGUUGUCCCGGUUUAAGCAUGUAGGCUGGUUAUCCAGGCAAAUCCGGAUAAUCAAGGCUGAGGUGUGAUGACGAGGCACUACGGUGCUGAAGUAACAAAUGCCCUGCUUCCAGGAAAAGCCUCUAAGCAUCAGGUAACAUCAAAUCGUACCCCAAACCGACACAGGUGGUCAGGUAGAGAAUACCAAGGCGCUUGAGAGAACUCGGGUGAAGGAACUAGGCAAAAUGGUGCCGUAACUUCGGGAGAAGGCACGCUGGUGUGUAGGUGAAGCCCCUGCGGGUGGAGCUGAGACCAGUCGAAGAUACCAGCUGGCUGCAACUGUUUAUUAAAAACACAGCACUGUGCAAACACGAAAGUGGACGUAUACGGUGUGACGCCUGCCCGGUGCCGGAAGGUUAAUUGAUGGGGUUAUCCGUAAGGAGAAGCUCUUGAUCGAAGCCCCGGUAAACGGCGGCCGUAACUAUAACGGUCCUAAGGUAGCGAAAUUCCUUGUCGGGUAAGUUCCGACCUGCACGAAUGGCGUAAUGAUGGCCAGGCUGUCUCCACCCGAGACUCAGUGAAAUUGAACUCGCUGUGAAGAUGCAGUGUACCCGCGGCAAGACGGAAAGACCCCGUGAACCUUUACUAUAGCUUGACACUGAACA